UCAAUCUGCAGAUAGGUCUUAAUGAUACAAUUUUUGUAUUUUGUAAUACUUUUGUUCUGUUUAUUCUGAUGGCUUAGCCUUGAUGUUGAUGACAACGACCAAACCUGAGCUGUACUGACAAGUGCAGCCGUUGUUCACCUCAAGCAACCGGACUUGUCCAAGUAAGCUCGAGACCAUUCUCCUGCAGGUCAAGUCAUUUUGCGGUCAGGCGCUGCAGGUAGUUUAUGUGCAACAAAGUCAUUAUUUGGUCAGCAUUGAAGUAUAUCGCAUUUCUUCCUCGAAAUCAAAGCCUAUAAUGGCUUACCUAUACUAUUCUGCUAUUCCAAGGAUCAGCGGCAAUAGGUCAAGUAAGCAACUUGAAAAGCCAAAACGGUCUAUGCACAAAACAAGCCUAACUCUGCGAUUUGACUACCCGACCACUUCCAAAAACAGGUAGGAAUUCUUAAAAAAGAGAUAUGUGGCCAUCUAAUCUAAACCAUUGGUAUGAAAAUACAGAAUCCAAUCUCUGACUCCUAGAUAAAGAGGAAGGAGUCGUAUUGAGAAGUUGUUCAGUCGACCAUCCCACUCAUUUGAUAGGCAGCCAUGGGCCGGCAUAUGGGAUCGAGAAGUACAGGCAUCUGGGUCCGAGGUGGGAGAUGCAGCUGGCGAUGGACUUUCCAAUCUCAGAUGCUUCAGGCAGUUCCUUAAAGUUUAUUUUAAAGAUCUAUAUCUGAGGCAACUUUGGAGAGAAUGUAUAGUUUACUUGGAUUUCUUUUGAUCCUUCCGCAGGAGGAGGAACCUAAAGGAUCAUUGCAUAGGCAAAGCAGCUGUGUAGGCUUAAGGCCAAGGAGAUCAGAUAGCAAUAGCAGCAUGUCCAAGCUUUAUAAAAAUGCAUCCAUCUCAGCUGAUAUGAAUGGCCUCACAUCACAAUAUGCUCCUGUAAAUCCAGCCUACAAUGCAACAAAGUGCUGAUGAUGGUGGUUGACUUAAAAGAGCAGGAUUGAUGCAGCCGAGAUGGUGAUGAUGAAGUCGAGGAUGAGGAUAAGGAUAGGUUAUCUAUGAAAUGGAAGUUAUGGAUAUUUCUCAUUACCUGAGUAUGUAGAUUACUUGUAUCAUACAUGUAGUAUGCUUCUUAUGUUAACUGUUGCUUUCUCUUAGCUUUUCUUCCAUAGCUAAACCAACUGGCAUAUAAUGUCGUGUUGGUUGAAGUUCAAAUUCAAAUUCACGUAAUUUAUAUGGUUGGGGAAUGAGAAGAUUCCUUUGCUUUGUUAA